CUUAAAUUCAAAUUUCAAAAAUGGGAUUUGCAUCUCAACGGCAAAAUUGGCACAAUUUCUCCUUUCUCAUCUCUUAAAAACCUGAUUCCCCCUGUGCCUGUUUGCGGUGUACGUCUAACGCUCUCUCUCCAUCAAGAAUGGCCCCCAUUCAAACCCCUUGCCAAUCUCACCGGAGACCUAACCAUUUUCUCUCUCUUCCACUCGCCUCCACUCCUCUCUCUCUUCGCCCUAUCUCGCCACCACCUCUUUCGGCCCCAAAUCCUUCACUCACAGCAGCGCCACCGCUAUCUGUGGCUCCUAUUUCACAGCCUCGAAUGGCCAUUUGUCUCUGUGCCUCCACUCUCGCAUCCACUAAAAGCCACCACCUCUCUGUGGGGUCCUCUCUCUGUGAUUCUUCUCUCAUAGCCACGAACAACCGCCACCUCUCUGCGGGUCCUCUCUCUGUGAUUCUUCUCUCAUAGCCAUGAACAACCGCCACCUUUCUUCCACUCCAAGGAAAUCAAGAAGCCCAACAACAACUAAUAAGUUAUUCUCUUCAAUGCCUUCACUCCCAAACGGUUAUUUCUUUGCUCUCUAAAGUCUGAGAAGGGUACUAGAUGUCUAGAGAAGAGGAAGAAAAUGCUGCAGAGCUCAAGAUAUGAGAAGGUUUGUCUUGCUUUUCUUUUACCUUUAUAUUCUCUCUCUUUUUUUUUAAUAAUCUUCCUCUUCUUAGUAUUUCUUGUUGUUAUCUUUAGCUCUUGCUUUUCUUUUUCUUUUCGUUAUAUGUUCGUGUAUUUAUUGUCCUAGGGAUACUUUCCAACUGAUUAGGCUUCAUGCCAUGCGGUUGUCUUAGAGAACUCUUUAAAUUGGAAAGUUCUUUUGAGCAGAAAAUGCAUGCUUUAGGGUAUCGCAUGACUUGUAUCUCCAUUUCAAGUUUAAAAUCGGGUUGAUUGAUUAGGUGCUGAAGCUGAUGAAAAAAAUUGUCAGGUUCCAAUUUCGUAGUUAGGUUCCUCUUCUUAUUUAGAACUCAGUAUAUCUAUGUCAAAAACAUUAGUGUGCCAUUCUUGUUGGAAAAUGGUCUAUCAAGGCCUAAAUUCCAGUAGUCUCUCAUUCAGUGUAAGUGAUUGAGAGAUUGAAAUCUUGGUGCCUUAUGAAAUGGAGCCCAAAUUCUUAACCCGAGUAUGCAUGAGGCAUCGAGAGUUCACGUGUUGAGAAAAUAAUUUCUCAAGUAGAUGUGAGGGUCACCUCCUAGUCAGGAUUUUAUAGGUGAACCUCAUGUUUAGCUACGAUUGGCCUGGGCUUGGAGAAUCCA